AGGACGAACGCUGGCGGCGUGCUUAACACAUGCAAGUCGAACGGUGACGGAGAGCUUGCUCUCCUGAUCAGUGGCGAACGGGUGAGUAACACGUGGGCAACCUGCCCCAGACUUCGGGAUAACGCUUCGAAAGAGGUGCUAAUACCGGGUACGAGCUCCUUGGGCAUCCUUGGAGUUGGAAAGUUUUUCGGUCUGGGAUGGGCCCGCGGCCUAUCAGCUAGUUGGUGAGGUAACGGCUCACCAAGGCGACGACGGGUAGCCGGCCUGAGAGGGCGACCGGCCACACUGGGACUGAGACACGGCCCAGACUCCUACGGGAGGCAGCAGUGGGGAAUAUUGCGCAAUGGGCGAAAGCCUGACGCAGCAACGCCGCGUGAGGGAUGACGGCCUUCGGGUUGUAAACCUCUUUCAGCAGGGAAGAAGCGAAAGUGACGGUACCUGCAGAAGAAGCACCGGCUAACUACGUG
rnacentral:rRNA from 1 species